UGAAGUGCUACUGCCGCAAGACUGAUCACAGGACUGUGCAUCAUGGAGUUGGAACACCGGUUCGACCGCCUGCUUACUACGAGGCAUGCCCACCGAAUGCUGACGAAAGGGCACCGCUGACCAAUUAUCAAGUGGCGUAGACAUUGUCUAGAUAUCUCGAUUGUUUAUGUAGCUCAAUUCUUAUGGAUAUAUCUCCCUACUUUUUGUACAAGCGGGAAUGGACCAUCGGAUCAUCCCCCAGAUUUUUGUUGUGAGAAACAAUUAGUUUAAGGUUAUCUUUUAACUUUGCGAUAGUCCAAAUGUGUUACAUAUUUAAGAAAAUCGGAGAACAAACAGUACAAACGCUUUACAUGCACCAUUGAGCGGUAAGGUUAAGGCACGUAACCAUAUUUUACUUGUUUGGUAAAGUGCUUUAGAGCAUAGGUUUUUUUUCUAAGCGAUGUUUUUAAAAGUUUGAAGUAAACAAAAUCAGUUAUUCUGGAUCUCCAAAGAUUUCCCCACCGUUUCAUAUUCGAACCCAAUUCCAAGCACCAAAGAGCAAACUCUGCGUUGUCAAUGCAAAUUUGUAUUCAGCACAUUUCACAAACACACUCCCGAUACACGCCUUUUGUGACUUAUAUUUAAAAAAAAAAAAAAA